rnacentral:rRNA from 1 species
AUUGAACGCUGGCGGCAUGCCUUACACAUGCAAGUCGAACGGCAGCACGGGAGCAAUCCUGGUGGCGAGUGGCGAACGGGUGAGUAAUAUAUCGGAACGUGCCCAGUCGUGGGGAUAACGUAGCGAAAGCUACGCUAAUACCGCAUACGAUCUACGGAUGAAAGCGGGGGAUCGCAAGACCUCGCGCGAUUGGAGCGGCCGAUAUCAGAUUAGGUAGUUGGUGAGGUAAAGGCUCACCAAGCCGACGAUCUGUAGCUGGUCUGAGAGGACGACCAGCCACACUGGGACUGAGACACGGCCCAGACUCCCUACGGGAGGCAGCAGUGGGGAAUUUUGGGACAAUGGGCGCAAGCCUGAUCCAGCAAUGCCCGCGUGCAGGAUGAAGGCC